GCAUAUCAAUAAGCGGAGGAAAAGAAACUAACAAGGAUUCCCUUAGUAACUGCGAGUGAAGAGGGAAGAGCUCAAAUUUAAAAUCUGACAGUCUUUGGCUGUUCGAGUUGUAAUCUAGAGAAGUGUUAUCCGCGUUGGACCGUGUACAAGUCUCCUGGAAUGGAGCAUCAUAGAGGGUGAGAAUCCCGUCUUUGACACGGACUACCAGUGCUUCUGUGAUGCGCUCUCAAAGAGUCGAGUUGUUUGGGAAUGCAGCUCAAAAUGGGUGGUAAAUUCCAUCUAAAGCUAAAUAUUGGCGAGAGACCGAUAGCGAACAAGUACCGUGAGGGAAAGAUGAAAAGCAUUUUGAAAAGAAAGUCAAAUAGCACGUGAAAUUGUUGAAAGGGAAACGAUUAAAGUCAGUCGUACCGAUGGGCAUUCAACUCCUUGAGCGCGAUCAUGUUGGGUGUUGGGGAGCUUAACCGUCCUCGCGUCCGCGUAUUUGUGCUCUUCGGGUGUACUUGUCCGUAUGGUAGGUUAACAUCAAUUUUGGUCGUCAUAAAAUGACGGGGGGAAUGUAGCUUCGAUCUCGUAUUGAAGUGUUAUAGCCUCUGGUAGAUGUGAUGAUCGGGAUUGAGGAUUGCAACGAACCCUUCGGGGCCACCUGUCUGGCCUCUGGUGGUCGCUCUGGUGUCGAAAGCUUGCUUACGACCAUCAAAGUUGGUUGCCAAAAGGUUAGAACGGGUUGAUUUCGUUAAGGAUGUUGACGUA
rnacentral:rRNA from 1 species